UUCGAUCAAUUGAACUGAUAUGAGAGUACGGAGUGGAACUGUGUAGGGCUCCAAUUGCUCACCUCUAGCCCAGCGCAGUCGAUGUGACGAUAUCAAUGUCGAAAUUCAAAGGAGACCGGAGAAGAGUGAAGGCGCAGGCGCAAGAUACAUGUGUGGAGAGAGAAACCGGAGGCGAACUGCUGGAGCUCAAAGUCAGAGACACUGAGGUGAGGUGAGGCAUAGCGGCUAGCGAGUUAGCGACUUCUUUUAGAUUAGGGUAAGAAACUG
rnacentral:lncRNA from 1 species